rnacentral:rRNA from 1 species
UACAGAGGGUGCGAGCGUUAAUCGGAGUUACUGGGCGUAAAGGGCGCGUAGGCGGAUAUAUGAGUGUGAUGUGAAAGCCCUGGGCUUAACCUGGGAAGUGCAUCGCAAACGAUAAAUCUGGAGUACAAGAGAGGGUGGCGGAAUUUCCGGUGUAGCGGUGAAAUGCGUAGAGAUCGGAAGGAACGUCAAUGGCGAAGGCAGCCACCUGGCUUGAUACUGACGCUGAGGCGCGAAAGCGUGGGGAGCGAACAGG